rnacentral:rRNA from 1 species
UACGGAGGGUGCAAGCGUUGUUCGGAAUUAUUGGGCGUAAAGAGCGUGUAGGCGGUCAGGUCAGUUAGGUGUGAAAUCCCGAGGCUCAACCUCGGAACUGCGCCUAAAACUUCCUGACUUGAGUACGGGAGAGGUAGGUGGAAUUCCUGGUGUAGAGGUGAAAUUCGUAGAUAUCAGGAGGAACACCGGUGGCGAAAGCGACCUACUGGACCGAUACUGACGCUGAGACGCGAAAGCGUGGGGAGCAAACAGGAUUAGAUACCCGCGUA